CAAUUAGUCGCGGAGAAUCGGGAGCACGCCAGAACCGAACCGAUCGCGACGACAAUGGCACUUUCACGCUCACUGUCGCUGUCGCUGGCGCUCUCGUUCCACUUCCAUUUCCAUUUCCAUUGGAGCACAAAAACGGCAAGUGUCUGGGCCCUGUGCCCUGUGCAUGGGCGGCACUCGCCACACUCGCCCUGCCUUAUCUAUAAGGUUGACAUCUGGGGGAAUUCUUGGACCUGAUGUGAGCCGCUUGAGCGCCACUGAACGAGUGUUUCAUUCCUCUUCGAUCGGCCGGACGGAAGCAUGGCGCAUCGAUUGGAAGCGCAAGCGAACGGGCAGCGACGCCUCACUAACAUCGUUUUGCAUGCAGCGCACAUGCGGCAGUAUUUCAAUCUUUUGGGUCUCUCUGUUUUCAAUUUCUGAUUUGUAGAUGUGUACAUAUGUAAAUGAGCAUGCCUAUAUGUAUAUGAACAA